rnacentral:lncRNA from 1 species
AUGAUGUUACCACUGCAGCCUCAGUUUUCACUAUUGCUACCUCAUCUUCCAGCCAUAUUAAACUUUCUUCAAAAAUGCCGUUAUUUUCUCUUUCAUUUCCAAGCCUUGCCUUUUCUCAGCCUAGACAUUUUACCCACUUUCUCAUCUCUCAGGUCUGGAGCAUAUUGUCCCAGGUCCCAUAGGCUGAAAGCAACCAUGUCAGGUUCGUGGUAUCCAGGAAGCUACGGUGUCUGCUGCUCUCUUCUUGGAAAAAUGACUGAAUGACAUAAAAGAAGGCAAAAGGGGAUUCCUAGGCAGUGUCCAUUUCCAUAGACCAUCUCAAGAAGAGGUCUACCAGCUACUCCGGGAGGUCAGUGCUUUUCAUAGUGUUGUCCUCAGCUCCACUUGCAUUAGAUUCACCUGGGAAUGCUGCAGGAAACUUCCUCGCAUUCUUUUUUGACCUGCCAAAUCAACAUCUCUUGGGUUAUAGGAAACUUUAAGAAAAAAAAAAUCCUGUAUCUUUUUUGCCAGGCUGUUUCGAGAAGCAGAUCCAUAUUAGUAAAAAUGAAAAGAACUGACCUUCCACCCUCCUGGUCAACGGGUGGCCCUGUGUUUUCAGAGCUCUCGUAGUUUUUCAGCCUUUAAGAGAUAAAGGCCACAAGUGAUGCCUACCGCUUCCUCAAAUCCCACCUCACCUCUCAGCCCUAGUCCUUCCCCCAUCAGCAUCCCAGCACCAAGAGUUUGUAGGAGCAGUAAGGCAACAAGGACUGUGAGAUACUGUCUCUGGAAGAGACAAAUAAGUGGCCAGGGGCCACAAAGAGCAACUGCAUCUGUUGGCUUGGCAAAUCCCCCAGACGGCCAUCUCACAUCUUAGCAAAGGCACACCUUCCUUCCUCAUCCGGACAGUUGCUAGGCCUGGGGAGCUCACGGGCCAUCAGAGCGGCAUUUUCUCUAGCAGAUCUCUUAACUCUCGAGGAAGAAGUGUUAACACUAAAAACCAAACAAACCAAAACAUAUUGGAGGGCAUCUCGUUUUUCACGCCUGUGGAGGAAAUUUCUGGCUUCCUUGGGAAAAGCGUGAACUUGCCAGGGGGCCUGGCCUCCCUGCAGACUAGGCAGCAAAAAUCUCUGUUAUUUGCCUCUUGGUUUUGGAAGGAAGACUGAAAUAGGUAAAGGAACCCUGGGAUGUAGGGAGGGCCCCAAAUCCUUGGGCCAAACUCCUUAGUUCUACUUUUCUUUCCUUAAGGAGCUGAAGGAAAGAAAGUGAUGUACUUGCAUCUGAACCC